GAUGAACGCUGGCGGCGUGCCUAAUACAUGCAAGUCGAGCGAACGGACGAGAAGCUUGCUUCUCUGAUGUUAGCGGCGGACGGGUGAGUAACACGUGGAUAACCUACCUAUAAGACUGGGAUAACUUCGGGAAACCGUAGCUAAUACCGGAUAAUAUUUUGAACCGCAUGGUUCAAAAGUGAAAGACGGUCUUGCUGUCACUUAUAGAUGGAUCCGCGCUGCAUUAGCUAGUUGGUAAGGUAACGGCCUACCAAGGCAACGAUGCAUAGCCGACCUGAGAGGGGGAUCGGCCACACUGGAACUGAGACACGGUCCAGACUCCUACGGGAGGCAGCAGUAGGGAAUCUUCCGCAAUGGGCGAAAGCCUGACGGAGCAACGCCGCGUGAGUGAUGAAGGUCUUCGGAUCGUAAAACUCUGUUAUUAGGGAAGAACAUAUGUGUAAGUAACUGUGCACAUCUUGACGGUACCUAAUCAGAAAGCCACGGCUAACUACGU
rnacentral:rRNA from 1 species